GAAAGACCAAAACUUAUCCAAACUCACGGGAAAAACAAGAAAAGAUUAUAGGUUUUCUUGAUAUUUAUGUGGGUUUUCCGGCGAUGUCAUUUUCCGGCGGAAGAAGAACAGUAAUGGUGCUGCUCAUCAUCUCAGUGUUUCAUAUUUGGUUCUUCUCAGAAAGCAAAGUUGGGGCUAUCAGGAUAUUGCAAGAACAUGCAGCAGUAGAGGAAAAACGGAGCCAAACAAUGGAAUCAAGCAAAAAUCAAACAGAAACUUUUCGCCUGUACUUCAAUGGCAGAGUUCCCAGUCAAAAUGGCACAAUUUUUUACAGUGAAAGGACAAUACCCAACUGUCCAGAUCCUCUUCACAACAAGUAGAUUAAUAUGUUCUUUAAUUUAGUUAGGGUAUUUUAUAUAUGGAUUUUAUUAAAAUUACCACGAUUUUCUCAUAAUAAUUAGAGCAAUUAUAUUUUUUAUGUUUCUGGUAAUUUGAAGGGGGUAAAUCGUGUCUAUUUUAGUACUUGAAAGAUUUCCUUUAUUGCUUCAGAUAUCAAGAAAAAUAAUUGAUCAUGAUGUGGAAAAAAGAUGAGUUUUUUUUUUCUUUUUUUUAAUAAAAAAUUCCGCCAUCAUUAUUUUGUUACGGAAAAUUUAUUAUUUAGAUAAAGUUUCGUUUUUGGCAAAGAACUAAGUUAGAUUAAAUAUUUAUUCACUGUUGAAUGUCUUCUCAUUUUCCCAGAAUAGGUAAGUUUAGAUUCUGUGCACUAGUCGUUGUAUAAGUUGAACUCCAACCUUGACAGCCCCACCGUCCCGUCCCUAGAGUAUCGUGAGGGAGGUAGAUCGCGGGAUGUGUCCCAACAGACCAGGAAACAAGAGCUUGUCUGUACACUGGUGCUUACAAAGAGUCCAAUUUCAUAUUUCAGAAAUCGAACUCUCACACUGCGACUGUUAGUAAGACUGAGAUUACCUUAUUUCUAUUCUUUGCAGCACUGAGAUAUGCGGUGAGGCUAGUCGUCAUAUAAGUCUUCUGAAGUCUAGUGGUGAAAGACCAACAGGUGAUAAAAUCUUUGUCUUUGCCGCUGUAAAAAUUUGUGAAAACGUUUUAUUUUUUGUUCAUAUUCUGGGUUCUAUUGACGGUUGGAUUUGGAUGCUAAAAGAUGAUGUGGCUUACCGUGACUUAAAACCUCAAUAUUACUGAUGUGGUACUAUAUAAAAACUCGUCAAUUAGUUGAUAAGUUAAUAUUU
rnacentral:lncRNA from 1 species